rnacentral:rRNA from 1 species
CUACGGAGGGUGCAAGCGUUAUUCGGAAUCACUGGGCGUAAAGGACGCGUAGGCGGGUUGGCAAGUCAGAUGUGAAAUCCUACAGCUUAACUGUAGAACUGCAUUUGAAACUGCUAACCUAGAGUAUGGGAGGGGGAGAUGGAAUUAGUGGUGUAGGGGUAAAAUCCGUAGAUAUCACCAGGAAUACCGAAAGCGAAGGCGAUCUCCUGGAACAUAACUGACGCUAAGGCGUGAAAGCGUGGGGAGCAAACAGGAUUAGAAACCCUAGUAGUCC